GACAAUGAAGAUGUGUUCUAGCAGACCUUAAUGAUUCUUGCGGGAAUGAUAAGACGAUUCAAAGAACAUCUAAUGGACUGAGUGUAC
rfam:Hordeum vulgare subsp. vulgare, WGS project CAJW01000000 data, contig: morex_contig_1579361